rfam:Gossypium arboreum cultivar AKA8401 contig_1079_1, whole genome shotgun sequence.
UAUUAAAAAUUCAUCCAUUUUUAUCGUUAAAAACUGGCGUUGCUAUCAGAAUAACCAAAUAGUUACAUGACAUAUUUGCCUCAUUCUGGCAUACAAGGACUAAUUUUAACAAUAGAAAUGGAUGAAAAUUUUAAGA